GAUGUACUCCCUCCGUCCGGAAAUACUUGUCAUCAAAAUGGAUGAAAGGGGAUGUAUCUAAAUGUAUUUUAGUUCUAGAUACAUCUCUUUUCAUCCAUUUUGAUGAAAAGUAUUUUUCGACGGAGGGAAUAUUGC
rfam:Triticum aestivum genome assembly, contig: Triticum_aestivum_CS42_TGACv1_scaffold_291342_4AL